rnacentral:rRNA from 1 species
GACAGCAGUAGCCGCGGGAACACGUAGGUGGCAAGCGUUGUCCGGAAUUAUUGGGCGUAAAGGGCUCGCAGGCGGUUUCUUAAGUCUGAUGUGAAAGCCCCCGGCUCAACCGGGGAGGGUCAUUGGAAACUGGGAAACUUGAGUGCAGAAGAGGAGAGUGGAAUUCCACGUGUAGCGGUGAAAUGCGUAGAGAUGUGGAGGAACACCAGUGGCGAAGGCGACUCUCUGGUCUGUGACUGACGCUGAGGAGCGAAAGCGUGGGGAGCGAACAGGAUUAGAUACCCCUGUAGUCCCUGUCUCUUAUAC